ensembl:lncRNA
CCUCAGACAGUUCUCACAGUGGGGUUACUUCCCAGUCUACACUCCUGCCUCCCUCUGCCUCACAUGGGGGCAACUCCCUUCUCCGUCUCCUCAGACAGUUCUCACAGUGGGGUUACUUCCCAGUCUACACUCCUGCCUCCCGGUCUCCCACCGCUCUUCAGACAGAGAAACACUUCCCAAACAGACACGUAACACUCAGACGGGAGGACCAGGUCUACAUGGCAACUAUAUCACAACACAGGGACAACCCUUCUCCUCCUCGCCUCCCAAACAGACAGGGACACAUGGCAACUGUAUCUAGGAGGCUGCUCUGAUGAACACAUGGACCUGUCUGGUCAGAGUAUGGCUUUCCUUUCACCUUCCUCACAGGGAGAAACUACAUCCCCUCACGGCAUCUUUGCACUCGUUACGGAUCAAUGCUUUUUCAAAAAAGAGAAAAGGAAACGGACGCACUUGAAGACAGGCCCUGUUCAGUCGUUGAUCGCGUUCAACACAGUGAAUAGGACGCUUGGUUUUCUGAUGGUUGGCAAGUCAAUGUGACAUCACACUUUGAUUGGCUGGCGAGACGUGUCAACCAAUCACCCAAAAAGGACUACACUUGAAUGACAAACACGGGUGUGGACCCAAGGACGAGGGCCAGGAAUUUUUCCUGACCGUGUAGUGAAAAAACCCCUGAUUUAGAAGCAGUCCUGUGGCUCAGUUGGUACGAGUGGUGUCGGCAAUGCCAAGGUUGGGAGAUGAUUUCCUGCAGAGAUCAUACGCCUACUAAACGUAGAUGAUGCAGACAGAGAUGCUGUUCAUCACCACACAGAGAUGAUGCAGACAGAGGCGUUGUUCAUCACCACACAGAGAUGAUGCAGACAGAGAUGCUGUUCAUCACCACACAGAGAUGAUGCAGACAGAGGCAUUGUUCAUCACCACACAGAGAUGAUGCAGACAGAGGCAUUGUUCAUCACCACACAGAGAUGAUGCAGACAGAGAUGCUGCUCAUGACCACACAGAGAUGAUGCAGACAGAGGCAUUGUUCAUCACCACACAGAGAUGAUGCAGACAGAGGCGAUGUUCAUCACCACACAGAGAUGAUGCAGACAGAGAAGCUGUUCAUCACCACACAGAGAUGAUGCAGACAGAGGCAUUGUUCAUCACCACUCAGAGAUGAUGCAGACAGAGGCAUUGUUCAUCACCACACAGAGAUGAUGCAGACAGAGAUGCUGCUCAUGACCACACAGAGAUGAUGCAGACAGAUUUUGUUAAUCAGAAUCUGUUCGGUGCCAGGUGCAAUCCAUGUAAUCCCAUCAAUAUGACUACAACUUUCAAACACCUGACAAUUAACAUACAUAAUUUUGAAACAAAACAGCAACAGUAGCUCCUCACAGAGAAUGAUAUCCCAAGGUAUUCCAUACCUGGCAUAAUCAUUAUGGCCCAGUAAUUAAUUAGGUUGGAAGACUCUACAGCCUAUCGCUUUGUGAUUGUAGUUAACUCUUAAAUGCACUUCAUCGUUUUAUACACUAACCUGGACUCUUGUUCGUCCCCACCCCCACAUUGUGUAUACACUUAGAGGAACCCAGAAAUGGUUGCUCUUUAAAUAGGGUGAAUCAACUGUACAAGGCUUUCCACUUAAACCCACAGAGCAAUAAGCAUUUAUUUUGUGAGAUCUGUUAUGUUACAACCCCAUUUACAAAAAAGUUGGGCUCUGCGUAAAAUGCAAAUAAAAUCAGAAUGAAAUGAUGUGCACAUCAUUUGAUAUCAGUAUACAUCAUUUCAUCCCAGUACAGUCUCAAGAGCAUGGAGGGGAUACCAGGAGACUGGCCGUUACACGAGGAGAGCUGGACAUGGCCGUAGAAGGGCAUCAACCCAGCAGCAGGACUGUUAUCUGCUCCUUUGUGCGACAAGGAAGAGGAGGAGCACUGCCAGAGCCCUACAAAAUGACCUCCAGUGGGCUACUGUUGUGCAUGUUUCUGACCAAACUGUCAGAAACAGACUCCAUGAGGGUGGCUUGAGGCCCUCUAGUGGGAACUGUGCUCACAGCCCAGCACCGUGCAGCUCGAUUGGCAUUCGCCAGAGAACACCAGAAUUGACAGUUCUGCCAUUGGCGCCUCGUUCUCUGAUAGAGUCUGGAGACAGCGUGGUGAACGUUAUGCUGCCUGCAACAUCAUCCAGCAUGACCGGUUUGGCGGUGGGUCAGUGAUGGUCUGGGGAGGCAUAUCCUUGGAGAGUCGCACAGACCUCCAUGUGCUAGCCAACGGUACCCUGACUGCAGUACCAUCAUCAGACCUUACACUGGUGCAGUGGGCCCUGGGUUCCUCCUGGUUCAGGACAAUGCCCGGCCUUUUGGCCAGAGUAUGUAGGCAGUUCCUUGAUGACGAAGGCCUUGAUGCCAUUGACUGGCCCUCACGUUCCCCAGACCUGAAUUGUUAUGGAUCGGUGCAUUAUUCCCAUUUUAUAUAGCAUUCAAACUUUCUGGAAAUGGGGUUGUACAAUUUCAACUUUCAAUAACAACUGGUCAAACUGUUCAGAAGUGACCCCUGACCUUGAGAUUAAGGGUCAUAUAAGUGAUCAAUUAUGAAAUACAGGUAAUAGUAACAACUUUCUAUAGGCUAACAUCACUCAGCAUGUUAAAAUAGCGCUAGACAUCUGUGUUUUCCAAUCUUUUUGUCUCACAUCUCUUGCUUUGUUUCCAAAUAUUUUGUGUCAUUCAUGCUCUUUCUUUCAUAAAUUGUUGAAGAUGUUUAAAAAAAAAAAAAGAAGAUAUUCUGCUGCCGAGUCAAUGCAAAUAAUUUUGAAUUGAUCUUAUAUGUGGAAAAUGUAUUUUGAAUGCUUUACAUAACUUCUGCUGUAAAAUGAAAUCAGAGUAAAAAGAAAAUUUG